AUUGAACGCUGGCGGCAUGCUUUACACAUGCAAGUCGAACGGCAGCGGGGAGGAGCUUGCUUCUCUGCCGGCGAGUGGCGAACGGGUGGGUAAUACAUCGGAACGUGUCGAGAAGAGGGGGAUAACCACCCGAAAGGGUGGCUAAUACCGCAUAAAUUCUGAGGAAGAAAGCUGGGGACCUAGGAAUAGGCCUAUCGCUUUUUGAGCGGCCGAUGUCGGAUUAGCUAGUUGGUGAGGUAAAGGCUCACCAAGGCGAAGAUCUGUAGCGGGUCUGAGAGGAUGAUCCGCCACACUGGGACUGAGACACGGCCCAGACUCCUACGGGAGGCAGCAGUGGGGAAUUUUGGACAAUGGGGGCAACCCUGAUCCAGCCAUGCCGCGUGUAUGAAGAAGGCCUUAGGGUUGUAAAGUACUUUUGUUAGGGAAGAAAAGUCAGCUGUGAAUAAUGGCUGAUACUGACGGUACCUAAAGAAUAAGCACCGGCUAACUACGUG
rnacentral:rRNA from 1 species